UAUCUCUGUAGAGUCUGCAUAUCAAUAAGCGGAGGAAAAGAAACUAACUAGGAUUCCCUCAGUAACGGCGAGUGAAGCGGGAAGAGCUCAAAUUUGAAAUCUUCAAGGUUCUACCUUGACGAAUUGUAGUUUAAAGAAGUGUUUUCUGUUGGAGUUUUGGUAAAAGUUCUUUGGAAUAGGACAUCAUAGAGGGUGAGAAUCCCGUAUUUGACCAUUAUUUCCAGCUUUGUGAUACACUUUCAAAGAGUCGGAUUGUUUGGGAAUGCAGUCCAAAAUGGGUGGUAAAUUUCAUCUAAAGCUAAAUACUGGCGAGAGACCGAUAGCGAACAAGUACCGUGAGGGAAAGAUGAAAAGAACUUUGAAAAGAGAGUUAAACAGUACGUGAAAUUGUCAAAAGGGAAGCGUUUGACACCAGUGUUGUUUUCUCGAAAAUCAAUUAAAAAUGGCUUGAUUUUGUGUUGUAUUGACCUUAAAAGCUUUCUUCACUUUUUUCAUGUCUUUUUUAAUGCACUUUUCGUUUAACAAGUCAACAUCAGUUUCUUUUGUUGUAAAAGGGUCAUUGGAAGGUGGCUUUCUUUUCGGAGAAAGUGUUUAUAGCCUUUGGCCUCUGCAAUCGGAGAGAUUGAGGUCUGCAGCGUAGAUCCUUCGGGGUUAGAUGCAUUUGUGCUAAGUUAUAGCCUUUCAUAGACAACUUGUUGACUAUGAUCAGUCAUGUAGCUUACUCGCUUAUGCUAUUUUACCUACGCUUAGGAUGUUGAAGAUGUAGCACAUCAU
rnacentral:rRNA from 1 species